rnacentral:rRNA from 1 species
UACGUAGGGGGCGAGCGUUGUCCGGAUUUAUUGGGCGUAAAGAGCGUGUAGGCGGCUUGGUAGGUCUGCUGUGAAAACUCGGGGCUCAACCCCGAGACGUCGGUGGAAACCACCUGGCUAGAGUCCGGAAGAGGAGAGUGGAAUUCCUGGUGUAGCGGUGAAAUGCGCAGAUAUCAGGAAGAAUAUCCGUGGCGAAGGCGGCUCUCUGGACCGCAACUGACGCUGAGACACGAAAGCGUGGGUAGCAAACAGG